CCUACGGUUUGCUGCAGUGGGGAAUAUUGGACAAUGGGCGAAAGCCUGAUCCAGCCAUGCCGCGUGUGUGAAGAAGGCCUUCGGGUUGUAAAGCACUUUCAGUGGGGAAGAAAGCCUUGGGGCUAAUACCCUCGAGGAAGGACAUCACCCACAGAAGAAGCACCGGCUAACUCCGUGCCAGCAGCCGCGGUAAUACGGAGGGUGCGAGCGUUAAUCGGAAUUACUGGGCGUAAAGCGCGCGUAGGCGGUCUGAUAAGCCGGUUGUGAAAGCCCCGGGCUCAACCUGGGAACGGCAUCCGGAACUGUCAGGCUAGAGUGCAGGAGAGGAAGGUAGAAUUCCCGGUGUAGCGGUGAAAUGCGUAGAGAUCGGGAGGAAUACCAGUGGCGAAGGCGGCCUUCUGGACUGACACUGACGCUGAGGUGCGAAAGCGUGGGUAGCAAACAGGAUUAGAUACCCUAGUAGUC
rnacentral:rRNA from 1 species